UGGCUCUCGCAUCGAUGAAGAACGCAGCGAAAUGCGAUAAGUAAUGUGAAUUGCAGAAUUCAGUGAAUCAUCGAAUUUUUGAACGCACCUUGCGCCUUUUGGUAUUCCGAAAGGCAUGCCUGUUUGAGUGUCAUGAAACAUCAAUCCUCACGGGUUUUUCGAUCUGUGGUGGACUUGGAUUUGGGCGUCUGCCAGUUUGAUGGCUCGCCUCAAAGGACUUAGUGGGAUAAGCACCCAUGGCCUUGACGUAAUAAGUUUCGUCUAGCCUGGUGUGAUGCCUGCUCACAACCCCUUUGAUCCUCUUGGAUCAUGCUUUUUGACUCUGACCUCAAAUCAGGUAGGACUACCCGCUGA
rnacentral:misc_RNA from 1 species